rnacentral:rRNA from 1 species
ACGGGUGAGUAAUGCCUAGGAAUCUGCCUGGUAGUGGGGGACAACGUUUCGAAAGGAACGCUAAUACCGCAUACGUCCUACGGGAGAAAGCAGGGGACCUUCGGGCCUUGCGCUAUUGAUGAGCCUAGGUCGGAUUAGCUAGUUGGUGAGGUAAUGGCUCACCAAGGCUACGAUCCGUAACUGGUCUGAGAGGAUGAUCAGUCACACUGGAACUGAGACACGGUCCAGACUCCUACGGGAGGCAGCAGUGGGGAAUAUUGGACAAUGGGCGAAAGCCUGAUCCAGCCAUGCCGCGUGUGUGAAGAAGGUCUUCGGAUUGUAAAGCACUUUAAGUUGGGAGGAAGGGUUGUAGAUUAAUACUCUGCAAUUUUGACGUUACCGACAGAAUAAGCACCGGCUAACUCUGUGCCAGCAGCCGCGGUAAUACAGAGGGUGCAAGCGUUAAUCGGAAUUACUGGGCGUAAAGCGCGCGUAGGUGGUUCGUUAAGUUGGAUGUGAAAUCCCCGGGCUCAACCUGGGAACUGCAUCCAAAACUGGCGAGCUAGAGUAUGGUAGAGGGUGGUGGAAUUUCCUGUGUAGCGGUGAAAUGCGU